GAUCCUGGCUCAGGAUGAACGCUAGCGGCAGGCUUAACACAUGCAAGUCGAGGGGCAGCAUGACGGAACCUUCGGGUUUUGUCGAUGGCGACCGGCGCAAGGGUGCGUAACGCGUGAGCAACUUGCCCUUAUCAGGGGGAUAACCGGUGGAAACGCCGACUAAUACCCCAUGGCAUUGAGUUGAGGCAUCUCUACUCAAUUAAAGAAUUUCGGAUAAGGAUAGGCUCGCGUGACAUUAGCUAGACGGCGGGGUAACGGCCCACCGUGGCUACGAUGUCUAGGGGUUCUGAGAGGAAGGUCCCCCACACUGGAACUGAGACACGGUCCAGACUCCUACGGGAGGCAGCAGUGAGGAAUAUUGGGCAAUGGAGGCAACUCUGACCCAGCCAUGCCGCGUGAAGGAUGGAGGCCCUACGGGUCGUAAACUUCUUUUGUCAGGGAAUAAAGUCGCCUACGUGUAGGCGUUUGCAGGUACCUGAAGAAUAAGCAUCGGCUAACUCCGUG
rnacentral:rRNA from 1 species